rnacentral:rRNA from 1 species
UACGGGAGGCAGCAGUGGGGAAUAUUGCACAAUGGGCGCAAGCCUGAUGCAGCCAUGCCGCGUGUAUGAAAAAGGCCUUCGGGUUGUAAAGUACUUUCAGUCGUGAGGAAGGUGUUAAGGUUAAUAACCUUAGCAAUUGACGUUAGCGACAGAAGAAGCACCGGCUAACUCCGUGCCAGCAGCCGCGGUAAUACGGAGGGUGCGAGCGUUAAUCGGAAUUACUGGGCGUAAAGGGCACGCAGGCGGUUAAUUAAGUUGGAUGUGAAAUCCCCGGGCUUAACCUGGGAAUGGCAUUCAAGACUGGUUAGCUAGAGUCUUGUAGAGGGGGUAGAAUUCCAUGUGUAGCGGUGAAAUGCGUAGAGAUGUGGAGGAAUACCGGUGGCGAAGGCGGCCCCUGGACAAAGACUGACGCUCAUGUGCGAAAGCGUGGGGAGCAAACAGGAUUAGAUACC